rnacentral:lncRNA from 10 species
AUUAGAACUGCCACAAGGUGCAAGCAAAACCUUGAGCUUCUUUAAAAUAUGAAGACUUCGAAGUUAUUUAUCCAAACCAACCUGAUCAUUUCUUAAGAGUGAAUAUACCUUGGAAGACGUGUCCUGCCUUUAGUAGCGUCACAAUGGAUUACAUCCUCUAUAAAGCAGUCUGGGGUGAGAAAAUCGAAUUUGGACACCGUUGAGGAGACUAUUGCAGUCAUCCAAGCUCAAGAUGGUGGAGCUUCAUCCUUGAGAAUAACCAAUGGGGAUAGAUUUAAGAGACACUUAGAGUCUGCAGCCAACAGGGCUGAAUGAGCAGUAAGUAGGAG